AUACUUACCUGGCAGGGGAGAUACCAUGAUCAGGAAGGUGGGUUUCCCAGGCUUAUCCAUUGCACUCUAGAUGUGCUGACCCCUUCGAUUUCCCCAAAUGUGGGAAACUCGACUGCAUAAUUUGUGGUAAUGAGGGACUGCAUUUGCUCACCCCUG